rnacentral:rRNA from 1 species
AGAGUUUGAUCCUGGCUCAGAAUCAACGCUGGCGGCGCGCUUAACACAUGCAAGUCGAACGAGAAAGGGUAGCAAUACCUGAGUAAAGUGGCGUACGGGUGAGUAACACGUGGAUCAUAUACCUUUUAGUGGGGAAUACCCUUGGGAAACCGAGGACAAUACCGCAUAAUCCCGAGAGGGGAAAGCAGCAAUGCGCUGAAAGAGUAGUCCGCGGCUGAUUAGCUAGUUGGUAGGGUAAUGGCCUACCAAGGCAUUGAUCGGUAGCCGGCCUGAGAGGGCACACGGCCACACUGGCACUGAAACACGGGCCAGACUCCUACGGGAGGCAGCAGUGGGGAAUCUUGCACAAUGGACGAAAGUCUGAUGCAGCGACGCCGCGUGAGCGAUGAAGCCCUUCGGGGUGUAAAGCUCUUUCGACAGGAACGAUAAUGACGGUACCUGGAGGAAGAAGCUGCGGCUAACUACGUGCCAGCAGCCGCGGUAAUACGUAGGCAGCGAGCGUUGUUCGGAAUUACUGGGCGUAAAGCGUGCGUAGCGGUGCCUCAAGUUUGGUGUGAAAUCUCCCGGCUCAACCGGGAGGGUGCGCCGAAAACUGAGUGCUCGAGUGUGGAGAGGUAAGCGGGAAUUCCUGGUGUAGCGGUGAAUGCGUAGAUAUCAGAGGAACACCGGCGUGUAGACGGCUUACUGGACCAUAACUGACGCUGAGCACGAAGUGUGGGGAGCAAACAGAUUAGAUACCUGGUAGUCCACACCUAAACGAUGCAUACUGGUGUGACCCAUUCAUUUGGUUCGCGGCCGGAAGAUAACGCCGUUAAAGUAUGCCCGCCUGGGGAGUACGGUCGCAAGGCUGAAACUCAAAAGGAAUUGACGGGGGGCCCCGCCACAAAGCCGGUGGAGCAUGUGGUUUAUUUCGACCCCAACGCGAAAGAACCUUCCCUGGGGCUCGAACGGUUUAAAGACCGGUGUAAAAAAUACUUUUUUUUCCCACAAGAAACCUUGAGUCGGAGGGUGCUCCCAUGGCUGUCGUCAGCUCCGUGUCCGUGGAGAUGUGGGGUUAAAGUCCCCGCAACGAGCCGCAACCCCUUGCCCCUGUUUUUGCCAUCAUUCCAGUUUGGGAAACUAUCCAGGGGACCGCCCAGCGAUAAGCUGGAGGAAAGGUGGGGGAUGACGUCCAAGUCCAUCAUGCCCUUUAUGUCCAGGGCUACACACGUGCUACAAUGGACGGUACAAUGCGCUGCCAACCCGCGAGGGGGAGCAAAUCGCAAAAAACCGUUCUCAGUUCGGAUCGCAGGCUGCAACUCGCCUGCGUGAAGCUGGAAUCGCUAGUAAUGGCAUAUCAGAACGAUGCCGUGAAUACGUUCCCGGGCCUUGUACACACCGCCCGUCACAUCACGAAAGUGGAUUGUACUAGAAGUCUGCAGGCUAACCCGCAAGGGAGGCAGCGGCCCAAGGUAUGAUUCAUGAUUGGGGUGAAGUCGUAACAAGGUAACC